rnacentral:tRNA from 1 species
GGAGGGGUGGCCGAGUGGUUGAAGGCGCACGCCUGGAAAGUGUGUAUGCGGGAAACAGUAUCGCGGGUUCGAAUCCCGCCCCCUCCGCCA